UCCAGGUGGCCUCUGUCUUCUUUUUCAACUCUGAUUUAAUUUACCUGAUUGAGCAGUGGCUCGCCCAGGAGGCCUUGGUGGGAUAGGGUGGAUGGAUAUCGGGUGGCGGGUUGGCGAACAGCUUCGAAAAGCUUGGGAUGUGAAAUAGCUGCAGGUCUGAUGCCAUCUAUAUUUGGAAAAUAUCGGAAGCAUCUAAGCAGAUGCUUCUUAGAAUCUAGUUUGGAGAUCAAUGUUUGAAUGUUGAGAUCUACAUCCGCGCGCGCGCGCGCAGACACACACACAGAGAGAGAGAGAGAGAGAGAGAGAGAGAGAGAGAGAGAGAGAGGGCUACAAGAGAGGUGGAGGACAGCCUGCACCGAAGAGCACAUGCUUCAAUGGCGGUUGGAAAGCGCCAAUCUAUUCGCCCACUCUCAAGAAUUUGUUCCCCUUGGGGCCCAACAGUCAGCUUUGUGGCCAGUAGAAGCAUCAUAUGCUUGUUAUGGUGGGGGAAGAUGAUUAAAUGGUCAAGCGAAGGCUGGGAUCAUAUAUGCCUUUUGUUGGAGAGAGAAUUUUACAGCUCGUAUUUGCACAAACUCCGAUCGAGCUGGUUUCCCACAAGAAAGAAUCUUAGGCUGCAUUGUUCUUCAAAUCGAUAACAGACGGGAAUAAAGUAGAGAAUUUCAUGGGAAUUAUUGACAUGCAAAUAUUCUCUGAACUAUUAGUUCUCUCGAAUUUCUUUACUAUAUAUUUUAUCAGCCAAAAUAUUCAGCACUAAUUGAAAAAUUCUUUGCAUGUUAUCUAUGGCUUACCCGCAUGCAUGCCAUUGACAAAAGAUGGCCGAUUUACCAAGUGUUGAAAUCACAACGCUCUCUUAAUGAUAUCAUUUUUGCUUUGG